rnacentral:rRNA from 1 species
UGGGGAAUAUUGGACAAUGGGUGAGAGCCUGAUCCAGCCAUGCCGCGUGCAGGAAGAAGGCGUUAUGCGUUGUAAACUGCUUUUUGCCAGGGGAUAAAAUGAGCGUGCGCGCUUAAUUGAAGGUACCUGGUGAAUAAGCCACGGCUAACUACGUGCCAGCAGCCGCGGUAAUACGUAGGUGGCAAGCGUUGUCCGGAUUUAUUGGGUUUAAAGGGUGCGUAGGUGGCCCUGUAAGUCAGUGGUGAAAUAUCUCAGCUUAACUGAGAGGGUGCCAUUGAUACUGCAGGGCUUGAGUACAGAUGAGGUAGGCGGAAUUGACGGUGUAGCGGUGAAAUGCAUAGAUAUCGUCAAGAACACCGAUAGCGAAGGCAGCUUACCAAGCUGUAACUGACACUGAGGCACGAAAGUGUGGGGAUCAAACAGGAUUAGAUACCCUAGUAGUCCCUGAGCGGGCUGGCAAGGCGCAU